UACGGAGGGGGCUAGCGUUGUUCGGAAUUACUGGGCGUAAAGCGCACGUAGGCGGCUUUGUAAGUUAGAGGUGAAAGCCCGGAGCUCAACUCCGGAACUGCCUUUAAGACUGCAUCGCUUGAACGUCGGAGAGGUAAGUGGAAUUCCAAGUGUAGAGGUGAAAUUCGUAGAUAUUCGGAAGAACACCAGUGGCGAAGGCGACUUACUGGACGACUGUUGACGCUGAGGUGCGAAAGCGUGGGGAGCAAACAGG
rnacentral:rRNA from 1 species